AUUCUGUGAUGAGGGCACUUCCGUAAUAAUUCUUUGUACCUUUCCCAUGCCUCAUACAAUGACUCAUCAUCCAUUUGUUGGAAAGCAGUGAUCCCGUUCCUCAACUU
rfam:Gossypium raimondii Chr12_contig_493, whole genome shotgun sequence.